GAGUUUGAUCCUGGCUCAGAAUGAACGCUGGCGGCGUGGAUUAGGCAUGCAAGUCGAACGGACAUAGCAAUAUGUUAGUGGCGACCUGGUUAGUACAAGUUGGGUAACCUGCCCGAAAGUGGGGAACAACCUCUCGAAAGAGGGGCUAAUACCGCAUGUGGUCUUCUUGUCCUCGGAUGGGAUGACUAAAGCAUUUAUGCGCUUUCGGAUGGGCCCGACUCCCAUUAGUUAGUUGGUGAGGUAACGGCUCACCAAGACGUCGAUGGGUAGCUGGCCUGAGAGGGUGGUCAGCAACACGAGGACUGAGAUACGGCCUCGACUCCUACGGGGGGCAGCAGUCUAGAGGCUUCGGCAAUGGACGAAAGUCUGACCGAGCGACGCCGCGUGGAGGAUGAAGGUCUUCGGAUUGUAAACUCCUUUCGGGUGGAAGGAAAGGUGGGAUGGUGAAUCCCGCUGUGACCGACCGCCGGAAGAAGCCCCGGCUAACUUCGUGCCAGCAGCCGCGGUAAUACGAAGGGGGCAAGCGUUAUUCGGAUUUAUUGGGCGUAAAGGGCGUGUAGGCGGCUUGGUAAGUCCGGUGUGAAAACGCUACCGCUCAACGGAGCGAAUGCGCUGGAUACUAUCAAACUUGAGUGCGAGAGAGGUGAGGAGAAUACCUGGUGUAGCGGUGGAAUGCUUAGAUAUCAGGUAGAAUACCCGAGGCGAAGGCGCCUCACUGGCUCGUUACUGACGCUAAGGCGCGAAAGCGUGGGGAUCAAACGGGAUUAGAUACCCCGGUAGUCCACGCUGUAAACGGUGAAUACUAGGUGUAGGGGGUACCCAUUCCCUCUGUGCCGUCGUUAACACAGUAAGUAUUCCGCCUGGGAAGUACGGCCGCAAGGUUGAAACUCAAAGGAAUUGACGGGGGCCCGCACAAGCGGUGGAGCAUGUGGUUUAAUUCGACGCAACGCGAAGAACCUUACCUGGGCUCGAAAUGCAGCUUAUAUCUCCUGAAAGGGAGUGCCCGCAAGGGGUGCUGUAUAGGUGCUGCAUGGCUGUCGUCAGCUCGUGUCGUGAGAUGUUGGGUUAAGUCCCGCAACGAGCGCAACCCCCGUCCUUAGUUGCCAGCACGUAAUGGUGGGGACUCUAGGGAGACUGCCCCGGACAACGGGGAGGAAGGCGGGGAUGACGUCAAGUCAUCAUGGCCCUUACGUCCAGGGCUACACACGUGCUACAAUGGCUGAGACAAUGUGCUGCGACACAGCGAUGUGAAGCGAAUCACAUAAACUCGGUCCCAGUUCAGAUCGGAGGCUGCAACUCGCCUCCGUGAAGAUGGAAUCGCUAGUAAUCGCAGGUCAGCAUUACUGCGGUGAAUAAGUUCCCGGGCCUUGUACACACCGCCCGUCACGUCACGAAAGUUGGUUGUACCAGAAGUCGCUGUCGGAACCGCAAGGACCAAGGUGCCGAAGGUAUGACUAGUAAUUGGGACGAAGUCGUAACAAGGUA
rnacentral:rRNA from 1 species